UUAAUUCAUUCAUAAAAAGUAUGCGUCAUCUAUAAAAAAUAUCGAAUUUAAUAAAUACAUAAUAUAUUGAAUCCAAUAAAGAUUUCCUUCAUAAAAACCAGGAUAAUUUAUAUUUUAACCAGUCAUAAAUAACCCACUUUUUGAAAUUACCACAAAAAAAAAUUAUUUUAAAAUAUUACCCAAAAAGACAAAAAACUUAUAUUUCACCACCAUUUAAUACUUUCCGUUAAAUCAAUCGUUUUAAAAAGUAUUUCUUCGAUUUUUGUGCCAAAAACAUGUUUUAUAGAAUUUUAGAUGUUUUGUCCUUUGGGUCUUAUUUGAAGUUAAAAUUUAUAAAAAUUAAUGAAUAUGCCUCAUUUUGCGUACUAAAAAAUACCUCGAUUUGCGUGACACAUGAAAAAUGAAGCAUUGUUUAUAGUUAUUUGUCAAUUUUGACAUCUCUUUGGACAAAAAUGACUCCCAAAACCUUUAAAGAGCAUGUUUUUGUCACGAAAAUCAAAAUCUUACUGCCAGAUAAGACCAUGUUCAAUUGAACAACAACUAGAUUAAUUAAUGUGCACAUGAUGAUGCAGAUUUAAGGAAUGAGAAUGAAUGACCUACAGAAAUGAACAAAGAGGAAAGGGAGGAAGAGAGACAAGAUGAUGACGCAGCAAACCCCAGGAAUAAGGGUAAAAACUACGGGUGACUAUGAGUCCACCAAUCCACUAGGUUAAUAAUUCAAUACAAGUAUAAUGUAGGUUUAGAAUAGAUUUAUAACGUUACUAAUAAUUGCUAGUUGGUAUAAAAUGUAAGGCUUAGUGAUUGUGUGAUGCCCGUGUACAAUGAUUCUUGUCAUAUUUAUAAUAGAAAAUCUUCCUAAGGCACUUCAACGGCUCUUUACCUGAUUCCGUGGAAUCCGGGGUUAGUUGUCAGGCUCUACUCCGAGUUUUAUGCCACAUUCUUCAUGCAUUAUCCGUUGCAGUUUGACUUAUUCUUCGUAAGUAGUUAGCUAUAGCUUACUGGCUCCGAGUCUCAUGGCACUCCUCUUGACUCAUUCAACAUGGAUCUUGCUUCUUGGAAUAUUCCUUGGAAAGACCUUCAUUUGACUUCUUUUGAUUACUUGAAACAAGAUCAUUAACUUCGUGGCAACCUGUAAUCUGCAACCUAGCAACCUGCAGACAUAUGAACAUGUAGUAAUAAUUUAGGCACGACAUAUACAUAUAUAAAAAAGACGAACCAAAUAAAGGAACCAAUGUCAAACACGAGUGGAAGUUCCUGCAAAGGAACUUGGAAAACUGACAAAGCUGAAAGGAACUUGCUGGGCACGUUUUGUUCGUCUAGGUUCAUUGAAUCUAUGAAUUUGGGAAGUCUUGGGGAAUAAUUUACAAGAUCUACAUUAGUUGGAAAAGAUAUAUAUAAAUAAAUAGAAUAUCUUAUCAAUUGGUUAAGAUAUAGAAAGAGAUAAAAUUUCAAAAUCUUAUCUAAUGACUUUCCUUAUCUUUGAAAGAUGACAACUCAUCUCUUAGCCUAUUUAAAGCCACGAAAUUAAAGAAGAGAGACGGAUGCUGGAGAAAAGGGGGACUUCACUCCAAAACCCCUCAAGGGUUAGGAGUCGUUCAUCACUGUUCGUGAUACAUUGUAGCGGAGGAACUCAGAGCAACCUGAGAGGAACUCAGAUCCAAAUCUAAGGAACUUGAUGGAUCCAUGAAGUAAGUCAAAGCCCAUGGAGUUUGGAGAUUGAAGAAAAUUCAAGAAAAUGGCAUUUUAGAGGUAGGCACGGUCGUGCCUCCCUAUUAGGCACGUCCGUGCCUCUGUGCCAGAAGCUGCGCUAAAGGAAGACCCUAGGCACGUCCGUGCCUAGCAGAAGAGGCACGUCCGUGCCUAGGUAAAGAAGCAGGAACGUCCGUGCCUGGAAGACAGAAACUGCAGCAAUUUUGCUACGUGUAGAGGCACGUCCGUGCCUCCUGGGAUUCUUGUGCGCCAAGGCUUAGCCGUUUUUCUAUCUUUUUAGGCUCAUGUAAAUACUUUUUAGCCUUGUUUUUCUUAUGAAUUUUAUUUUUCAUUAAGCCAUAUAUUAUUUUUAUUCUCUCAUUAAGAACUAGUUGUCCAUCUACUUUUCUAAGUUUUGUAAUUCAAGAUUCAAGGUUUCUACCUUCAAUUUUAUUUAAAAUUUGGUA